rnacentral:rRNA from 1 species
GAUGAACGCUGGCGGCGUGCCUAAUACAUGCAAGUCGAGCGAACAGACGAGGAGCUUGCUCCUCUGACGUUAGCGGCGGACGGGUGAGUAACACGUGGAUAACCUACCUAUAAGACUGGGAUAACUUCGGGAAACCGGAGCUAAUACCGGAUAAUAUAUUGAACCGCAUGGUUCAAUAGUGAAAGACGGUUUUGCUGUCACUUAUAGAUGGAACCGCGCCGCAUUAGCUAGUUGGUAAGGUAACGGCUUACCAAGGCAACGAUGCGUAGCCGACCUGAGAGGGGGAUCGGCCACACUGGAACUGAGACACGGUCCAGACUCCUACGGGAGGCAGCAGUAGGGAAUCUUCCGCAAUGGGCGAAAGCCUGACGGAGCAACGCCGCGUGAGUGAUGAAGGUCUUCGGAUCGUAAAACUCUGUUAUUAGGGAAGAACAAAUGUGUAAGUAACUAUGCACGUCUUGACGGUACCUAAUCAGAAAGCCACGGCUAACUACGU